ensembl:lncRNA novel transcript
GGCAGAAGGGGUGAAAAGUAGCCUCGAUGUGAAAGUCCUUGUGUGUCCCUGAGGGGGGAAGUAAGUCACAGUCGGGACACUGGUUCCUGUCACUGGGUGCAGCACAAAGAAGGACCCCAGGACAUGCGGUGCAGACGGGAGCACAGAGAGGGAGAAAACCACACACGUGGCCAUUGAUGCCCUUGGUUGACAGAGUUGACGGGAUUUUCUCUGGCUCUCACCUUGAGGGCAUCAUCAGCAUCCUGAAGUCACUAGCGGGCCUCUGUGCAGAUGUCCUUUCGAGGGGCUUCAGGCUGUGGAAGUGACCAGUGAACACAGGACCUGCCUGGACUCCCAGCCUCACAGCACAGCACCACAGCCUGGACUGCCCCCUGCCUGAUACUUGCUUGGUUUGGAACUUUACUCCAUCAAAACAUCCAAAUAAAAAUAUGUAGACUCCCCACCCUAUCCCAUCUGCUAUAGGGUUCUAAUUCCCCCACAGACAUCCCCUCACAGUGCUUUCUCCCAUGACGGGGGACUCCUGAGCUGGACUCCAUCCCUCCCCUACCAGAAAAGCACAGGUGCUGUGGCAUGAGUUCAACCGCCUGAAAUUCCCUGAUCUUCAGAGUAAUAAUUCUAAAAUAGGGCAAUAAUACCCCUGUCAGUGUUCUUGGAAGAACUUCUCAUUACUUGAGGCCCCAGAAAUGCAAACACUCCUCCGGUUUUCCAGCGUGCUGUCAACCCUGGCAUCAGAGCUCUUCCUGCCGUGGGCA